UAAUGGAAUAUCUGAGUAUACACACCAUUAUGAAAAGUGGCAGUGUUCCACAAGUAAAGUUCUUAACAGAUGUCAAUGGGUGAUGUUUACAGUUUGUGGCAGCAUAUUCACAUGAAGUAUAGAACAUGAAGCAGUGGUGAUUCCAACUGCUGUACCCAUACAAAAGAGGCCAAGGCACAGACCUUGUAUACAGAUGAAGAUCUCCUGUGAUUAUUUCUUUCUCCUCCUCAUUUGAUAACUGAAAAUAUAAGGAUGCCCUGCCACUCAGUCCAAGUUCUGACUUAUAAUUUCAGAAAUAAAUUAAGAUCAUCUAAACCAGAA